rnacentral:misc_RNA from 1 species
UCAUUCCUAGGCAAAAAGGUUGGAUUAACUGGCGCAAUAGCUGUUUUUGAGGGCAGCACCCUCACAGGAUAGUACCCAAGCAUUGUCCCAGCCAGAUUCAAAGCAGCCUGUGCACCUUCUUCAUCAGUGAACUCUAUAAAGGCAAAACGAAGUACAGAAUUGGGAUCCCCACAAAUUCGGCAGUCCACCACCUGCCCACAGCUAACAAAAAGCGCUGCAAGCUGCUCUUCAGUGACCUGUUGAUCAAUGUCAGACACAUACACAGUCCUGCGAAUUAUCUCCUCCCUCUGAGCCAUACUGGUCCUGCUGUUCAUCCUCCGUUUCCCUUGAUUAUUGUUUUUCUUCCUUCGACCAGCAUUUCCAUUUAGCGGUCCAUUUCUAGUGUCGUUGAUAUGCAUAAAAGAGUCAUCGUUGUUGUUACUAAAAAAACCCACACUGAGUCCAUGAUGAUUGCCACUGCUGUAAGCAAGCGAAGGAGGCACAAACUCCUCAGCCAUGGGGUUGAGCUUAGAGAAUAACUCCUGCAGCUCUCUUAUAUCCCUCUUGUAGCUCUCUUCCACAUCCCCAUCUCUCUGUAAAUCACCUGCGCUGCAGUUAGAUCGCUGAUGAUGAGAAGGAUAAUGAUUCGCCACCUGCAGACUCGGCGGCGGGGGCCGCGGGCUGCUGGGGCUUAACGUUGGGCUGCGGUUGAACCUGGACCUUCAUGUAGAGAGGCUGAAUCGAGACAGCGUUGUCGAUGCGCGACCGUAAGUGGUGGCUGUGAUUGGGGUUGAGCUGGUCGUGAUCGCUGGCGGACAAUGACAAGCUCGAAUCUAGACUGGAUGAUGAGCUCGAGCCCACUGUCAUCCCCAAAUCCACACUCGCAUUCUCUACAACUGCCAUGAUUUUGCUUGCUCAAUUCUCAAAAAA